rnacentral:rRNA from 1 species
UACGGGGGGGGUAAGCGUUGUUCGGAAUUACUGGGCGUAAAGGGCUCGUAGGCGGCCAACUAAGUCGGACGUGAAAUCCCUCAGCUUAACUGGGGAACUGCGUCCGAUACUGGAUGGCUUGGAUUUGGGAGAGGGAUGCGGAAUUCCAGGUGUAGCGGUGAAAUGCGUAGAUAUCGGGAGGAACAUCAGUGGCGAAGGCGGCUGCCUGGCCCAAUACUGACACUCAGGUGCGACAGCGUGGGGAGCAAACAGG